ACGCUCGACACCUACGGGAGGCAGCAGUGGGGAAUAUUGCACAAUGGGGGAAACCCUGAUGCAGCGACGCCGCGUGAGCGAAGAAGUAUUUCGGUAUGUAAAGCUCUAUCAGCAGGGAAGAAACUGACGGUACCUGACUAAGAAGCACCGGCUAAAUACGUGCCAACAGCCGGCGGUAAUCUGAGCGGCUGGCAAGGC
rnacentral:rRNA from 1 species